GGACCUGUCGUAAGACAGAACACUUAAUAAUAAUAAUAACCAUCUCCAAUUAUUUUCCAUUUCGUCCUUUCUUUUUGCAUGUGGUUUCCAUAGUUCGUUGAUUCUGUUUAAAUUUGAUAAGUGCAUUAGAAAUUAAGAUGUAAUUUCGUUUGUGGCCUAAGUAGUAUACAAACUGCAGUUCUCAUGAAUUUCAGUUUCUAUUGUGGAUAUUUAAGAAAUAGCUGGUAUUUUAAUCAACUGAGCUAAUGUAGCCACCAACCGUGACACUAAUAACUGAUAGUUGGCAGACAUGGAAUUGCAGAUAGUAAUAUAUCGUGUAAGGAUGUUGGUAACUAAGUGGAAGAGAGAGUUAUUCAAGAUGUCGGAUGUGAGCUGUCAAGGAAGAAAGGCUAGUUCCGUGUUAAAUGGACAAUUAAGUGGUGUGUACGAGUGACUUCGUUAUAUAAUACUAGAAAUUUAAUGUUUUUAUAGGCGCUUUGUUGCUUGUCAUUAGAGACAAUUCUCAUACAUGUUACCGUAACAAGUUUGGCGCCAAUUGUGUUGACAAACUGACAAAAGAGAAACUCAAGAGAAUAAAUAGUUCGUGAAUUAUAAAAGAUUGAACUCAUAUUCAACAUGCCAAAAACAAAACUGAAACCUUUAUACACUGGCAAAUCAAUUUCAGAUUUGGAAGUUUUGUACAACUUUGAUGAAUUUAUUAAAGGAAAUAAAGCAAUGAUGUAAGUAAUUUGAUGUUAUAUACAUUAUGGGUUUUAACGUUAGAAAUAGAAGGAUUAGUAUGUGAAAUGAUUUUAACUCUUCAUUUUGUAGGCUUUGUAAUUCAGCCAAAAAGUUGCUUGACACAGAAAAAUAAUGUAGGCGUUCUGGUGAUCAGGAAUUGAGUUACAUUCAUUACGUGUUAUAUCUCAUUGUGGUGACCGUGAUUCAGAAAUCAUAUGAAUAUCAGAAGGAAAAGGACGAUUUGAAUAACAAGCUUGGUUCACAGAAUAUAAAAACUGCAGUGGAUUUUGCAGAGAAGCUUGCCAACAGUUUGGAACAAAGAUGAAUGUAAUAUGUGUAUUAUUUACAUUAGUUUUGUUUUCCUUUUAAUGUCUGACUUCUUCUUCUUCCCUAGCUCUACAGUCUGACAUUUACAUGAUGUGAUUGCUGAAACAGAUGUUGAAGUCCAGCAGCGGUUACAGAAGUGGGAUAAAUUUUUGGUAUCAGGAGAAGUUGCAGCUGGAGAAAAUAAAACUAAUCAUACAGAAAAUGUAAGCAGUGCAAGUAAUGAAGAGCAGAAGGGUGUUGUUAAGAAUUAUGUCAAUACUUUAGAGAUAAACAAGAUUCAAGGUAAAAAGUAUUUGCCAGAGGUCAUUUAGUUUGUGGAUGCUUAGUUACAGUUUAUGGUGAACUGGUAAGAGGAGCUUGGUAUUAAUGCUAUUGAAGUUGGCUGUCUUCUGGUUGUUGCGCUGCAGCAAGGACCUCUACAACAUCGGUACCGGACUGACUACACGGUGCAAAAACCCAGAAAACAGCCUCACCAACUUGAAAACCUUAAAUCUUACAUUAGUGCUCUUGUUCAACAUUUUAUGUUGUUUUAACAGUACCUUCCUAAGUGAUUACAGUAAUUGUAUAUUCAUCAGCACACUACUUGGUGUGUGAGCUACUGUUACGAGCAGUUCAUAAUAAUUACAGUAGAAGUCUUGGUCGCACCUUGGGUUUCAUUUCGGAAUGGCACGAACUUUUGUGCAUUCAAGGACAUGACUCAUAUGUGUUUUUAAUGACUAGUAGAACUGCCCACACUCCCAGUUGUUUACCAAUACCUGUUAUGUGUUGAACAAAAGUUUAAUAAAUCAUGUCACUCUGUCAUGAGAAA